ensembl:lincRNA
AUGGGGAAAUGUAACUUUGUCUGUGCAGACCUGGCCAUGAGUCAGGGGAGCUGUCUCUUUCCAAGCCUCUCCUUUCUGCCCUCCCUCCACUCACAUCGAGAUACCAAGUGCACUCUCUUCCGAUCGGUCCCUGUGUCUAUUGCUCUUGAUUUUUAUUAUUCUGUGCUGAGAAUACCUUACUAUUUACAUGACUCAGCUCAUACUUUCUUUGUCUUUGAAGACUUUAUGAUCAUCCCCUUCCUGACUCCACAAAUCUCAUGUCUCAAGUCUCAUGUGGGAGAUAUUCUUAAAAGUCUGCUAUUACACACAAAAAGCCAACCAAAAUAUGAUAGAAAUUUCAUUAGCCAAAAGCACAGGGCCAUAUGGGAGGAAGAGACCUCAGAGAUCUUACAGCCUAUGCCCUCAUUUGAAAAAACUGAGGCCCAGCUGGGAUUUAGACCAAGCUCCGUCAAUAACAAUUUUAUUUCGGUAUACCAAACAGUUGUUUGUUUGCUUGCUUGGUAUACUGAAUAAAUCAAAAUAAAAGUUUAUAAAAUCAUCAAGAAAAAUGACAUUGAGACCUCCAAACGAGAAAAUACAACUGAUUCAUGAAAGGCAGUUUAUCAAAUUGCUAGGAAUGAUCAAUUCUGCUCAUACCUAGACUGGUUUCUAGGAUGUCCCUAAAUAAAAGGAAAUCAAUAUUCAUCAGCAACUUAACACAAAAUUAUUGAACAAAUCAUAUUUCUCUAUAACAUAAAACUUCUCUCUUUUGUGUACUUCUGGUCUGUUUUUGCUGUAUGUUCAGGAAGCACACACUAGCUUCAACAUAACUCUAAAUCAUAUAAUGUCAGGAUGAUAAAUACACUCGGGAAAAAUUGUCAUCUGAGAUAAUCUUUAUAGCUUCAAAUCUAUAUGAAUGGUAGAUAAUUAUAUGAACAUAAAAGUAGGGAUGACUGUAAGUAAAAGUAAGCUAAAGUAACUUCAACAUAAUUAUUUCAAUAUUAUUAGUAGGAUUCUAAAGUGCAUUUGCAUGAACAAUUCUAACACAGUCAUAUACUAAAACAUUAAUGUCAAAAUAAGUACAGGUAAUCUCAUAUAUUAGGAAUUAUUCUUAGAUGUUUUAAGUUAUGAGUAGUGAAAACAGUCCUAUAAAUCUUUGAAUCUACUAUUUCAAACCUCCCAUGAUAUACCUUGUUCAUGAAGAAAACAAGAAUUGUUAAAUGAUUUUCUUUGUUCACAAAGAGGAAAUAAAUGUAUGACUCUAUUGUGGGCAGUCAAUGAAUGAUUAAAGUACAACUGGAUGACAACUCCUUAAAUAUAAAAAGUUUCUAGAAAAUAAAAUCAAAAUCUUAAAAAUAAAAAUUACAGUACAGUGGUUUGUACUUCACUUCAUGGCAAAUAGAUGGGGAAUCAGUGGAAACAGUGGCUGACUUUAUUUUUCUGGGCUCCAAAAUCACUGCAGAUGGUGACUGCAGCCAUGAAUUCAAAAGACGCUUACUCCUUGGAAGGAAAGUUAUGACCAACCUAGACAUUAUAUUAAAACGCAGAGGCAUUAUUUUGUCAACAAAGGUCUGUCUAGUUAAGGCUCUGGUUUUUCCAGUAGUCAUGUAUGGAUGUGAGAGUUGGACUAUAAAGAAAGCUGAACGCAGAAGAAUUGAUGCUUUUGACUGUAGUGUUGGAGAAGACUCUUGAGAGUCCCCUGGACUGCAAGGAGAUCCAACCAGUCCAUCCUAAAGGAGAUCAGUCCUGGGUGUUCAUUGGAAGGACUGAUGUUGAAGCUGAAACUCCAGUACUUUGGCCACCUGAUGCGAAGAGCUGUCGCCCGGCUGCUGGGAAAGAUUGAGGGCAGGAGGAAAAGGGUACAACAGAGGAUGAGAUGGUUGGAUGGCAUCACUGACUUAAUGGACGUGGGUUUGGGUAGACUCUGGGAGUUGGUGAUGGACAGGGAGGCCUGCCAUGCUGUGGUUCAUGGGGUAGCAAAGAGUCAGACAUGACUGAGCAACUGAACAGUUGUUUGAAACCACCAAACUUCAGGUGAGUACCUACUUUAGCCAUUAUUUAUCUAUUCAUUAAUUUAUUCAUAAGUGAUUCAAGAGCAAGUUCAAAUCUAAAAAAGCUGCUAUCUGCUAUAUACAUUCAGUUCAGCUCAGUUCAAUAGCUCAGUCAUGUCUGACUCUUUCGACCCCAUGAAUCGCAGCACGCCAGGGCUCCCUGUCCAUCACCAACUCCCAGCGGUCACCCAAACCCAAGUGCAUAGAGUUGGUGAUGCCAUCCAGCCAUCUCAUCCUCUGUCAUCCCCUUUUCCUCCUGCUCCUAAUCCCGCCCAGCAUCAGGGUCUUUUCUAAUGAGUCAGCUCUUUGCAUAAGGUGGCCAAAGUAUUGGAGUUUCAGCCUCAGCAUCAGUCCUUCCAAUGAACACCCAGGACUGGUCUCCUUUAGGAUGGGCUGGUUGGAUCUCCUUGCUGUCCAAGGGACUCUCAAGAGUCUUCUCCAACACCACAGUUCAAAAGCAUCAAUUNNNNNNNNNNNNNNNNNNNNNNNNNNNNNNNNNNNNNNNNNNNNNNNNNNNNNNNNNNNNNNNNNNNNNNNNNNNNNNNNNNNNNNNNNNNNNNNNNNNNCUAAGCUUUCUUUAUAGUCCAACUCUCACAUCCAUACGUGACUGCUGGAAAAACCAUAGCUUUGACUAUUUGGACCCUUGUCAGUAAAGUAAUGUCCCUGCUUUUUAGUAUGCUGCCUAGGUUUGUCAUAGCUUUUCUUCCAAGGAGCAGCGUCUUUUAAUUCUAUGGCUGCAAUCACCAUCUGCAGUGAUUUUGGAGCCCAAAAAAAUAAAGUCUGACACUGUUUCCACUGUUUCCCCAUCUAUUUGCCAUGAAGUGAUGGGACCAGAUGCCAUGAUCUUUGUUUUCUGAAUGCUGAGCUUUAAGCCAACUUUUUCACUCUCAUCCUUCACUUUUAGGAAGGAGGCUGUUUAGUUCUCACUUUCUGCCAUAAGGGUGGUGUCAUCUGCAUAUCUGAGGUUAUUGAUAUUUCUCCCAGCAAUCUUGAUUCCAGCUUGUGCUUCCUCAAGGCCAGCAUUCCUCAUGAUGUACUCUACGCCUCCCUGUCCAUCACCAACUCCCAGCGGUCACCCAAACCCAAGUCCAUCGAGUCAGAGAAGCCUAC